rnacentral:rRNA from 1 species
UACGUAGGGUGCGAGCGUUGUCCGGAAUUAUUGGGCGUAAAGAGCUCGUAGGCGGCUUGUCACGUCGGAUGUGAAAGCCCGGGGCUUAACUCCGGGUCUGCAUUCGAUACGGGCAGGCUAGAGUGUGGUAGGGGAGAUCGGAAUUCCUGGUGUAGCGGUGAAAUGCGCAGAUAUCAGGAGGAACACCGGUGGCGAAGGCGGAUCUCUGGGCCAUUACUGACGCUGAGGAGCGAAAGCGUGGGGAGCGAACAGG